GGAUUACAGGCGUGAGCCACCAUGCCUGGUCCUAUAUUCCUUUUCAUUCCUGUCGAGUACCCUCAGGUGACUACAGAUGUGUUAACACCCAGCAUGUUCCGGUAGGAGACUUUCUGGAUGGGGAAGAUUUCCAGGAAUUGGCAACAAGCUCAUUUCACUGGUGGGUUUGCUGAAGCAUUAUCACAAGACAGUCAGAAUGACUGAUGAGUGCUCUUCAGGUGUGAAUCAUGGCAAUACAGUGAAAGACAGUGAUUUACUGCUUUUGAGGGCGUGCAUGUAUAUGAUUAACGGAUGGAAGUGCAGGACUCCAAGAUUUACUUCCUUCCCUUUCCAGCAGAAUUACCUGAGACGAGUAAAAUCUACUGGUGGAGUCACUCCAUUAUUCUUAUCUGUGGAGAUCUAGAUCUUGAUUUGAAAGUUUCUGAGAAAAUCUUCAGCUCAGACUUGAGGGUCAACUUUACCAGCUGAAGGAUCUGCAUUUACUGCUCAACCACAUCUAAUUUGAUGUCCUCUGCAGAUUUAAAAUGUGUGCCUUCUUUUCCGUCACCAAGUCAUCCCUGGGUUACUACUGAACAUCCUUCUCAAUUCCCCCCGACCCAUGGAUGGCUGUUCUCCAUUGUCUGUUUCACCAGAUGUCCUCAAAACAAACAGACAGAAGAAGGAAGUGGCUAAUGGAGCUGUGGAGUCCAAGUGUGACUGCCAAGAGGAAUCCAGCAAAGCCAAAAAGCCCAAGCAUGUAGCCCUGCCCGAAGCACGCCACACGCAUGGAAAACCCAGAGGAAAUGAGUGAGGAUCAAUGGGAAGAAGAGAGCCAGCCAGGUUCGAUGCCUUCUCCAUCCGUCAGUGAGGGUGUGGAGAGCCUGCAGGCGUGUGCCUCCCUCUGUAACUUGCUAUUCCUUGUGUAAUGUCAAGUGGAAGUGUGAAGCACCACAAACUGCUCUGAGCAGAGCCCACUUCCCUUCACCCACGGAGAGCGUGAAGCAGUUACACCAACAUCAAUCAAGGAAAACCCACAGGCUGAGCUCACACGGUUGAAGCAGGAAGUUGAAGAUUUGUCCAGGAGCAGAUAGCUGAAGAGAGAGAGAGAGAAGAGAGAACGGCUUACAGCUCAGGUCCUCUCUCCAUGCUUAGGAACCACUACAAAUGCUACUGCCUUGAGUCUCAUUUUGUUUCCCUCUGGAAACCACAUGUGUACCUUGUUUGCAACAGUAUGGUUCUGGAGACCAGAAGGCCAAAAUCAAAAGUAUGGGCAGGCUUGAUUUCUUUAGAAGACUCCAGCGGAGAACUGUGUCUCCUUGCUUCUGAUUCUACAUCUCCAUCCAUGGGCCACUGUUUCAGCAACCUCAGCCAGUGCAACACAACCUCAGCCAAGAAGAGUAUGCAGAGAAAGGAGUCCCCUACCUGCCACAAAACUGUUGUCUGAAAACUGUCUCAUAUUGUCUCAAGUUGUCAUUCAUUGUGAAUUAGACCUGUUUAACAUGUAA
rnacentral:lncRNA from 1 species